AAACCGUUCAGGGGUAAACCUGAGAAUCCCAAAAGAUCGAAUGGGGAGAUUCAUCGUCAACGAGGCUGGCCUCGCGGCGGUUCGCGAUGCUGGCGGCUUCGGCCGCUCGGCACGCGUCUGUCGCGCAACGCUCGGUCUCGUCGGCGUGCACUUCUCCCCUAGUAGAACGUCGCGACCCGUUGACAUGCGAUCUAAGGCCUCGGUGGUUGUCUGUUCACGUCCCUCGCGGGACGGGUCAAGCCCCGGGAUGCCUGAUCGACUGCUCGGCGGUACACGCACGGUAUAGGGUCGCAGUUAUCGACUGCGUCGGACCCGUCGCAAGCGCGGUCAGCCCUCGGACGUACGGACCCAGUGCCGUCGCUGAGACUGGCCUGCUGUUGGCUGGCGGUGUUCUCUGACUGGCCCACGCUUUCAUUAGUGAUUACCGGUCGGCGACGCUACUGCUUUGGGUACUUUCAGGA
rnacentral:rRNA from 1 species